AGAGUUUGAUCAUGGCUCAGGACGAACGUUGGCGGUGCGCUUAAUGCAUGCAAGUCGAGGGAGAACCAGUUGAUUCGUAAGAUUCGGCUGGGGAAACCGGCGAACGGGUGCGUAACACGUGAGGAACCUGCCCCGAAGACCGGGAUAGCCCGAGGAAACUCGGAUUAAUACCGGAUACCCUCUUUGGACCACAUGGUCGAUUGAGGAAAUGGUCCGCCGCUUCGGGAUGGCCUCGCGGCCUAUCAGCUUGUUGGUGAGGUAAUGGCUCACCAAGGCCGAGACGGGUAGCUGGUCUGAGAGGACGAUCAGCCACACUGGGACUGAGACACGGCCCAGACUCCUACGGGAGGCAGCAGCAGGGAAUAUUGCACAAUGGGCGAAAGCCUGAUGCAGCGACACCGCGUGCGGGAUGAAGGCCUUCGGGUUGUAAACCGCUUUCAGGAGGGACGAAAAUGACGGUACCUCCAGAAGAAGGCCCGGCCAACUACGUGCCAGCAGCCGCGGUAAUACGUAGGGGCCAAACGUUGUCCGGAUUUAUUGGGCGUAAAGGGCUCGUAGGCGGUUCAACAAGUCGGUCGUGAAAACCCGGGGCUCAACCCCGGGACGCCGGUCGAAACUGUUGUGACUAGGGUCCGGUAGAGGUGAGUGGAAUUCUCGGUGUAGCGGUGGAAUGCGCAGAUAUCGAGAGGAACACCAGUAGCGAAGGCGGCUCACUGGGCCGGUACCGACGCUGAGGAGCGAAAGCAUGGGGAGCAAACAGGAUUAGAUA
rnacentral:rRNA from 1 species